rnacentral:rRNA from 1 species
GGAAGGAUCAUUAUCGUACAACAAGAGGCGUUCGGGGCUGUCGCUGACCUUUUAAAAGGUCGUGCACGCCUCGAUCGUUCUCAUCUACACAUCCAUCUUACCCCUUGUGCACCACCGCGUGGGCCCCCCUUUGAUUCAAAAAGGGGUGGCCUGCGUUUUUAAUCUUCACACACAUAAACGAAUGUCUUUCUUUUGUAAUAAUCAGUACAACUUUCAACAACGGAUCUCUUGGCUCUCGCAUCGAUGAAGAACGCAGCGAAAUGCGAUACGUAAUGUGAAUUGCAGAAUUCAGUGAAUCAUCGAAUCUUUGAACGCACCUUGCACCCCUUGGCAUUCCGAGGGGUACACCCGUUUGAGUGUCGUGAAAUUCUCAACCUCCCCCAAUUUCUUGGGUGAAGGCUUGGACUUUGGAGGCUCUUGCUGGUCUCUCUCAUUUGAAGCCAGCUCCUCUUAAACGAAUUAGUGGGGUCCCUCUUUGCCGGUCCCUCGACGGCAUAAGAUUUCUUUACGUGCGAGGUUUGGCUUUGUAGCCCCGCUCCUAACGGUCUCUUCUCUAGAGACGAGCCUUUU